rnacentral:rRNA from 1 species
CCCUUAGAUGUCCUGGGCCGCACGCGCGCUACACUGAUGCAUUCAACGAGUUUACCUUGGCCGAGAGGCCUGGGCAAUCUUUUAAACCUGCAUCGUGAUAGGGAUAGAUUAUUGCAAUUAUUAAUCUUGAACGAGGAAUUCCUAGUAAACGCAGAUCAUCAAUCUGCAUUGAUUACGUCCCUGCCCUUUGUACACACCGCCCGUCGCACCUACCGAUUGAAUGGUCCGGUGAAGCCUCGGGAUUGUGGCCAGCUCGCUUUAUUGGGAGUUGGACGCGAGAACUUGUCUAAACCUUAUCAUUUAGAGGAAGGUGAAGUCGUAACA